UUUAGUCGUAUGGUAUUGCUAGUCAGUAUCUUUCUUUCACUUGUAUGUAUGCUUCCUCCCUGAUCCUUCCUGUGACACUGGUGGUUUGGCCAAUUUCCCAUCCAUUUUCCAGUUCACACUGUCAACACGUCCUUACUUUGGCUACCACGAUACAAUGUGAGACAGUAUCCAAAAGUUUUGCUAAGAUCAAGAUAAAUGACAUCAACUACAGAACAAGUCAUUUGAUUAUAGAAACAGUUGCUUUGGUAAAGUAUGAUUUGUCAAAAAUCAUGUUUUUGUUGUAUUUGUCUUUAGUUGGAAUAUUUAAUAUAGUGUCAGUUAUAAAUGAGUUUAACACAUUAUUAACACAAAUUCAAAAUAACAAAAAGAAAAAAAAAGAUUAAAUCUUUCAACAGAUAGAUCACUGUUUGCUCUGCAGUGAAAAAUUGUGCUUACUGUUGCUUUUGACAUUUUAAUGAGUUACAUUUAAAUUCACCCUCUGCAGGAACUAGGAUUGGAGGAAUAGAUUACAAGCAAAUGAGAAGGAAAGUAAUAUGUUAAUUAUUAAUGUCUCUGUGAUGUUUGGUAAUUAUUAAAUUAAAAAAGUAGCUUCAGAGAAGCCCCUUGAUACUAAGUUUUAAAUUCAGUUUGAGAAGAAUAAUAGAGUAGACCAUGGAAGCACUUGAAAUGACUUACCAGAAAGAUAGCAGAUUAGCAGCCUCUAAACAUUUCCCUAUAUAGAUUCAAUCAUUUGUUAAGCGACAAGUACAAUACAUCUUCAGAGUGAUUGAUAUAUCAUAUGAUAUAGCCCAUACACUAGGGAAAUAUAGAGGAGGUCAAAGGAUUUCUGUUUUAUAUUCAAAGUACAAAGAAAUUCAGGGAAAUCAAAGUCUCCUGAUCUGCUGAAAAAAAAAAAAAAAAAAAAAGAAUAAUCAACUAUAGUCUUAAAUUUCUACCUCUGUAAAUAUUUCAUGAGUUUUUACAGCACUCUGGAUUUCUCUGGAAUCAUUUUACUUUGGAUAAAUCAGAGACUAGUUCAAAAAACAAAGAAACAAACAAACAACAACAAAGUAAAUGACUGGUCAUAUUCUUUUUACUUAGAAAAUGUCAGCAAUGCUGGUUUCAGAUGUUAUUACAGCAUUACAGUAAGAAGAAAAAAAAAGAGGGGGAGGAGUUAUCUGCCUACCUUACCUUCCCCUCCCAGUUGUUAUAAAUUAGAUGUUAAUGGUAAUAAAGGAAAGGCUAUAAGGCUUUUCAACCUUUGGUUAUAAAUAUUUCUACCAACAAUAUAAGAAAAUACGUAUUUUCUUUAAAAGUAACUGUGUACAUUUAUAUAUAAAGAGAGCAUAAAACAAAACAAAUUUGGGACUUCUUUUUUGUCAUAAAAUAAAUGUGAAAGGUCAAAAGAAACAGUGAAUGCAACUUAGUAUUUAUUAAUUAGCUGUAAUUGAAGCCUGUGAUCACUUGUUUUGGUAAUACCUUAUUCUGAAAUUUAGGGAAAGAAGAUACAGGACACUAUAUAUGACUAGACCAUAGAAGAAAGCAUGUCACACAAAAUAACUCUGUAUUUUAAGGAACAUAAAUUUCUAUAUGUGCCUUAGCUAAGACUUCUGCAGUGGACAAUGUAAGUAACUGCCUGUGCCUGGUUGCUGCAACUAUUUCUUUGCAAAUUAUUUUCACUUCAGACAGAUUUGUUUCCAUUCAACAUCAUCUAUGUUGUUUUGUUGUUAGUAUUUUAAAAUGUUCAUCAUAGAACCAAAAUUAGAAAAGAUAUUUCUUGUUUUAAAAGAAAUCACCAGCUUAACUGCUUGUGCAGCACAAAACCUUGAUGACAUAAACCAAACUUGUCUUACACAAAGAUAUGGCAUACUUGUCUUGUAUGAAGAUACGAGGGUAUUUUAAAAUUUGAUCAUUAUCUGCUGAGAUAUUAGCAUACUUUAAAAAUACUGUAGCAGAUAAUAGUUCUUUUUCAGGAUAGUCCAGUGAUGCAGAUCUCUGUUACUAGAGCUGCAGUUUUCUGCUAAGAUAGUGGUACAUUAAAUAACUCUGCUAGAGAAAUUAAUCUUAAUUUAUAUUUCAUGGGCCAGAUUUCAGAAAUUGAUAUUAUAAGCUUAGUGUUAUUUAAGUGGCAUAUCAGCUGUGUGCUUUUGUGGCUUAAUAGCAGCCUUUAUCUUUACAGAAUACUGUGUAUGGUGUAAUAGUAACACAGGGGUAAAUACACUGGGAGAAAGGGUAACCGAAGCUGUAAAGGCACUGUGAGAUGCGGUGCACGCUCUCCAGGUUACGUGACUGGGAGAUCUGCCAUGCUGCUGCAUGUUGCUUCUCCACUCUCAAUCCCAGUGCAGCUGCGUCUGGCAUGAAUUAUUAUUAGACUAGUCUACAUUUGUACGUGUCUUGUGUUGUUCACUAGAAACAGCUGAAAAAUAGAGCAUGAGUAGUGACAGAGUUAUUUCGAACAUUUUAGGGGGAGGGAAGAAAUUGCCAAGUGGCUUCCUCCCUCUGAGGGAGGAAGAAAGGUCAUGAAAAGAUUUGGAAUAGGCUCCUGUUUUGUUCCUAACCUUAAAUCUAACCAGUCUUGUUUUCUUGUUAACCUUGCUGUAACCUCUUUUGCCUAAAAGCAUCAGGGGCAGUUUGUCAGUCCUCCAGUCGGUCUCAGGGACAAUCUACACCUCUCCAUUCCUCUUCUGGACUUUAUCCUUCUUGGAAUAAGUGUGUGGAGUGUGGAUCUGUGUGGCCAACCACCAGCAUUACUACCGGAGUAUGCAGAACUAUUUUCGAAGGGACUGCAUUUCAAUUCAACAGCAGAAUGAAAGCAAACCAGUGGAAGUUCUUUUGUUUUCCAUUCCCCAUUCUAUUGGUGAAGAGUGCAUCAAAGAAAUACAUGCAGCCUGCAAUACUUGCCAGUGACCUUCUUUAUGGACAUUUUGGAAGAAGCUACAAACCAAAUUGCUCUGGCCAUAUAAGGCCACUUCUGCCACAUGUACUUUUAUUAAGGAUUGACAGAAAACAGUGUCUGGGAACAGUUUUCAGCCACCCAAACAAUUUCUGCAACUUGCAGCUUUGUCUAUCCCCCACCCUCUCACCAAGGAUUGGAUCUCCUGUCUAUAUUGAAUCUUCUGUACCAGUAAUGAUCCCUGAACUCAGCCAAGCAUAAGAUCUUCAUCCAUGGUUGGCCUUUUGCUGUAGGGAAAAAGAGGCUUUGCCAAGGCAUUACCACAGUUAUUCUUUGGCCAUGCAUCUAGAAUUCAUAACAGAGACUGGAUAAAUGUGAGGGCUCUGCUUCCAUGUGCUUGAGCACUUAUAUUUUAUCAAAAGAAUACUCUUUAAAGCUUUGUGUUGCAUCUUUGCUCUAAGCUACCUUCUGACCAUAGGGUUUCAGAACAUUGUUUCUCUGUUGGAAUAGAUAUUUGAGACAAAAUUUCAUCUGCAUUUGCUUUGAACCUUUUCUUAGAACGCUUUCUUAACACCUUUUUCAAUUAGGUUACUUACUGUUUGAUAACGUAGUAUUAGUGAUUAAUGUACUUUAAAGAUUUUGACAUAAUUUUAUGUCAUCCUUUCUAUAUAUUUCAAUAUAUUUUGAAAUAGUAAGGAAUGUCUACAAGUUUAAAAACUAGCUUACUACUUGAGGAGCAUAAAUGGGUGUUAUCACCUCUCAGCUGAUUUCAUAAUCAACGUUUUUCAUCAGUGACCCGGCAUAGAUACCAGAGGUUAUUAUUCAAAGGUUGAUAGCUGCACACAGAGCAUAAUAAAAAUUUUGGAUGUAUGACAAAUACUAAGGAUAACAAAUCGCUAAAUUAUAACACAAUAUAGAUCAAACAUAUUAAAAAAAAAAA